rnacentral:rRNA from 1 species
ACAAGCGGUGGAGUAUGUGGUUAAUUCGAUGCAACGCGAAGAACCUUACCUGGUUGGAAACCCUGGAAUCCCGCAGAGAUGUGGGAGUGCUCUUUUAGAGAAUCAGGUGUCCAGGUGCUGCAUGGUUGUCGUCAGCUCGUGUCGUGAGAUGUUGGGUUAAGUCCCGCAACGAGCGCAACCCCUGUUGUUAGUUGCCAGCGAUUCGGUCGGGCACUCUAACGAGACUGCCGGUGGUAAGCCGGAGGAAGGUGGGGAUGACGUCAAGUCAGCAUGGCCUUUAUAUCCUGGGCUACACACACGCUACAAUGGCCAACACAAUAGGUUGCUAAGCCGCGAGGUGGCGCCAAUCCAUAAAGUUGGUCUCAGUUCAGAUUGUAGGCUGCAACCCGCCUGCAUGAAGAUGGAGUUGCUAGUAACCGCAGGUCAGCUAUACUGCGGUGAAUACGUUCCCGGGGCUU